AUACUUACCUGGCAGGGAGAUACCAUGAUCAUGAAGGUGGUUCACCCAGGGCGAGGCUCAGCCAUUGCACUUGCAGAAUUUAUAGCAGCUUGUGUUGUCCUGAGACAGCGCCAGGUCAACCGGCUUUUGGCAGACCUAUCAGAGACGGCCAGAGCCACUCUGGCUGUUC